UACGAAGGGGGCUAGCGUUGUUCGGAAUUACUGGGCGUAAAGCGUGCGCAGGCGGCUAUCCAAGUCAGUGGUGAAAGCCCGGAGCUCAACUCCGGAAUUGCCAUUGAAACUGUUUAGCUUGAGUACGAGAGAGGUGAGUGGAAUUCCCAGUGUAGAGGUGAAAUUCGUAGAUAUUGGGAAGAACACCGGUGGCGAAGGCGGCUCACUGGCCCGGUACUGACGCUGAGGUGCGAAAGCGUGGGGAGCAAACAGG
rnacentral:rRNA from 1 species